AAUAAAGCAAAAUUUUCUUUUUCCUUUAUAUUCUCUGUUUUUCUCCUCUCAGUGCCCGAGCACUAAUAUGGUAUUAGAGUUCAUCCACACCAUUCAAGAUUAAAAACAAUGGUGUGCCUUACUACGAGAACUUCAAACCCAGAUGGUGUCGACAACCUCAGCACUCAAGAUCCCUAGAUCAACGUCAAUCCCCAUUCUUCUACCAUUGAUGGCUCCACCAACCUCCAGCUGACCAAUCGACUAGCUCAUGAAGAUGUAUCUAGAUCAUCCCGGACUCGUUCAUGUCUCUGAACUCCUCACCGGUCCCACUUUUUAGUCAUGGAAAAGGGCCAAUUCAAUGGCUCUUGCUGCAAAUAAUAAAACUGUUUUUGUUGAUGGGCCUCUCUCACACCCUAAUUCUUCUAAUUUUCUUUUCAAUUCUUGGACCAGGUGCAAAAAUAUGGUCAUGUCUUGGCUGCUACAUUCGGUCUCCUUCGACAUUGCUCAAAGCAUAAUGUUCUUUGAUCUUCCAUCUGAUAUGUGGAGUGACCUAGCUGAGCGAUUCAACCAAGGCAAUGGACCCAAACUUUUUCAAUUAAAGACCAAUCUCAAGGCAUGCAUCAAGGAGAUCACUCGGUCACCUCCUACUUCACCAAACUAAAAAACAUGUGCUAUGGUUGUUCAAGAUUAGAGGGAAAGGACCCUUGGUUCUUCCCAACCAAUCUCCCUUGCUUCGGCUAUCACAAAUCCACCACACCAAUCUCGCAACAAGAAACCCCGACCCUCUUGCUUCCAUUGCAACAAACCAGGUCAUUUAAUUGACAAAUGCUUCUUCUUACAUGGGUUCCCACUUGGUUAUAGUGACAAAAGAAAAUCUGAAAGACCCACCCCUGCUGCCAAUCAAGCAAGCACAAGUCAAACUUCAUCUAAUCCAAUGGUUUCUACAACAAAUCAAGCCCUAAACACCCACUACCAACAACUCAUCUCUGUACUCAGUCAACAACUUCAACACAAUGCUCAUCAGAUUGAAGCCACUCGGAUCAUAGAGGCUCAUCAAUAAGAAACUACUCUGACCCAAGCUGCCUCUAAUUUCUCUGAUAUGCCGAGGGCACGACGACAGGUAGCCUCCAAUGAACCGGACGAUGCUCCUUUACUGGCAUUCGAACUGGUGUCGCAUGUGUCCGAAAACAAACUGAGGGAAAUUGUGAAUCACUAUCGGGUUCCCCCGGAGUACGCUUUAUACACUCCUUUGGAGACAUGCCGGGCUGACUGCCCUAAGACCGGUUUUGUGGCCCUUAGUGAGCACAUCCUGAAAGCGGGUGGUACCAUCCAGUUACACCCGUUCUUUGUUGCAGUCCUCAACUACUUUGACCUGGCACCGCUUCAGCUGGCACCCAAUGGCUGGCUGACUUUGAGCUGCCUUUUCGUUGCGUUUAUGAAACUGGUGAAGCGUGCUCCUAUGGCGCUAGAGGUGCAUUUCCUCUACGACCUCAUGCCCACUCCCAAGUCAAAGGGCUUCUAUUAUUUACAAAAAGCCAACAACGAGACCUCUUUGAUAGAGGGCUCGGUGUCCAACCUGGUGUCCUGGAAGCAGGACUUUUUCUUCGUGCAAGGCCCCCUCUCUGUCCGCGAGCACUUCUGAGCCACUCCCAAACAAUUUGCCGAACUCACAGUCGUCGGGCCGGAAGUGAGAGAUAUGAGGAAGUUCCUCAACGCUGACCCUGCUAUGAAAAAGGCAGAGUACUUAUUCACCAGGAAAAAUCUGAACCUCCAUAAACUGUCCCCUGUCUCGGACCCUAAGUUGCUGUGGACCAUCUCUGGGUCCAAGAUGUAAUAUCCAACAUUUUCAUAAUACAUUUAUUUAUUAUAAAUCAAAGUUUUAAUACAUAAAAUGUACAACUUUACAAAUUAAGAAAUAGUAAUGGAAAAAUAGUGUUUAAAAUAUGAUUUUAUGUUUUUA